AUUGCACGCUGGCGGCAUGCUUAACACAUGCAAGUCGAGCGAGCGGCGGACGUGUGUGUCAUGUCUGGGACACUCCCUCAUGGAGGGGGAUACCUACUGGAAACGGUCGCUAAUCCCGCCUACCAUCAGAUUUGCCCAGAUGGGAUUGGCCUGUAGGUGGGGUAAUGUCUCACCGAGGCGACGAUCCCUAGCUGGUCUGCAAGGAUAACCAGCCACACUGGAACUGAGACACUGUCCAGACUCCUACGGGAGGCAGCAGUGGGGAAUAUUGCACAAUGGGCGCAAGCCUGAUGCAGCCAUGCCGCGUGGGUGAAGAAGUCCUUCGGGUUGUAAAGCACUUUGAGCGAGGAGGCGUUACUCGCAGAAGAAGCACCGGCUAACUCCGUGCCAGCAGCCGCGGUAAUAC
rnacentral:rRNA from 1 species